rnacentral:lncRNA from 1 species
CUAAGCUCAGUCUCGUCGACGAUGAAGCCGAGCCAAGAACAUAGGCGUCAACACGCCCCCACAAAGAUCCUACUGACCUCGGUCUCAGCAAUGGUGGCCGAAACGACGACGUUUCCAAUCGACCUCACAAAGACGAGGCCUCCAGCUCCACGGCGAGUCGCGGUCUCUGGGCUCGACCCGGCCCACUAACGCGUUCCGGGUGGCCUUGGAAAUCGUGCGCCGGGAAGGCCCUCUGGGACUGUACAAGGGUUUGUCUUCGGCGAUUCUCAGGCACCUUUUUUACACGCCUAUUCGCAUCGUCGGCUACGAGCACCUCAGAAACUAUUUGAAAACCGACGGUGGGUCCCUCUCUCUUCCGGCUAAAACCCUCUCCGGCGUC